UAAGUGAAAGUUUUAAUAAAAGUGGUGCAAUAUUACACAAAUGGAUAAUGCUAUAUCUCAAUUUGAAGAGAAAAUAAAACUUUCUUUUCUUGGAAAUGUUUAAUAAACUAAACGAAAGGGUAAUAUUGUACAGUGCUGUGGAACUUGUUGGCGCUUUACAAAUUAAUAAUAAUAAAAGCAAUAUUUAUAUAAGCUAAUUUUUACUAGGAAUCUGGACAUGUUUUCUGGUCGUGAGGUAGAUAAAAU